AGUUUGUGUUUCAUGUGGGCCUGUUCAGAGAAUGUGCAUUGCCUGCCAGAGUAAAAAGAAAAACAGAUCUUCACAGGGCAUGACCUUUGGAAAUCCCAUCUUCGUCGCCAUGUGUAACGUCAAAGGCCUAGCCCUUGCCAAGCACAAGACAAACAAGUUUGAGUUUCAAAGGGAUAAUGAACACUGCUGGUGCUGAGGAGGUUAAAGGAAUUCCCUCCCUUUGAAUUGUGGUGUGUUGCUCUUUAAAGAAACCAGCUUAGUGCCCAGAUGACUGAAAUGAGAAAGGAUGGUUCAGCUUAUGCUAGUGAAAUUCAACAGAGGCAUUUUGAAUAAGUGGUAAUGCAAGUAUGUUCCUGCGAGAAGACCUCCAAAGAGAAAAAGAUGCAUUAGCGGUGCCAACACGUGACAAAGACAUGGAUAAGCAAUCUGACAUCUUCCGCAGUGGAAGAAGCUAUGCAGUGGUCCCUGGCAUGAGGUGACCGAGACAAUGUGAUUAUCAGAGAGAAAGGUGAUUUCAGUCAUCCAUCAAGGUUCUUUACUAACAUCCUCAGAAGAAAUGACACAGAUGAAC